UACAGGGGGUGCAAACGUUGCUCGGAAUCAUUGGGCGUAAAGCGCACGUAGGCGGCCUUGUAAGUCGGAUGUGAAAUCCCACGGCUUAACCGUGGAAGUGCAUCCGAAACUGCGAGGCUCGAGUAUGGAAGAGGGUCGCAGAAUUCCCGGUGUAGAGGUGAAAUUCGUAGAUAUCGGGAGGAAUACCAGUGGCGAAGGCGGCGACCUGGGCCAAUACUGACGCUGAGGUGCGAAAGCGUGGGGAGCAAACAGG
rnacentral:rRNA from 1 species